UACGUAGGUGACAAGCGUUGUCCGGAUUUACUGGGCGUAAAGAGCGCGCAGGCGGUCGAUCAAGUCGCGUGUGAAAGCCCCCGGCUCAACUGGGGAGGGUCACGCGAUACUGAUCGACUGGAAGGCAGGAGAGGGUAGUGGAAUUCCCGGUGUAGUGGUGAAAUGCGUAGAUAUCGGGAGGAACACCAGUGGCGAAGGCGACUACCUGGCCUGUUCUUGACGCUGAGGCGCGAAAGCUAGGGGAGCAAACGGG
rnacentral:rRNA from 1 species